AGUCUGGUGCCAGCAGCCGCGGUAAUUCCAGCUCCAAUAGCGUAUAGUAAUGUUGCUGCAGUUAAAAAGCUCGCAGCUGGAUUUCUGACUUGGCGCACCUGGCCCGCCACGGUUACGUGUGUGAGUGCCGGGAUGCGCCUGUCACUUUUCUAGUAAACUAUUGUGCUCUUCAUUGAGUGCGAUAGGUAGCUAGAUAUUUUACUUUGAAAAAAAUUAGAGUGUUUAAAGCAGGCGUUUGCUAUGAAUACAUUAGCAUGGAAUAAUAAGUUAGGACUUCGGUUCUAUUUUGUUGGUUUCUAGGACUGAAGUAAUGAUUGAUAGGGAUAGUUAGGGGUGCUAGUAUUCAGCGGCCAGAGGUGAAAUUCUCGGAUUCGCUGAAGACUAACUUAUGCGAAAGCAUUCACCAAGGAUGUCUUCUUUAAUCAAGAACGAAAGUUGGGGGAUCGAAGACGAUCAGAUACCGUCGUAGUCUCAACCAUAAACUAUGCCGACUAGGGAUGAGUGAACGUUGCAUAAUCGACUUCAUUCGCACCUUAUGAGAAAUCAAAGUCCUUGGGUUCCGGGGGGAGUAUGGUCGCAAGGCUGAAACUUAAAGGAAUUGACGGAAGGGCACCACCAGGAGUGGAGCCUGCGGCUUAAUUUGACCCAACACGGGGAAACUUACCAGGUCCAGACUCAGUGAGGAUUGACAGAUUGAAGAUCUUUCUUGAUUUUGAGGGUGGUGGUGCAUGGCCGUUCUUAGUUGGUGGAGCGAUUUGUCUGGUUUAUUCCGUUAACGAACGAGACCACGACCUGCUAAAUAGUUCAAGUUAGGGUUCGCUCUAGCUGUUGUGGCUUCUUAGAGGGACUAUCGGUGUGUAGCCGAUGGAAGUUCGUGGCAAUAACAGGUCUGUGAUGCCCUUAGAUGUUCUGGGCCGCACGCGCGCUACACUGAUGCGUUCAUCGAGCUACAACCUUGUCUGAGAGGACUGGGUAAUCUUUGAAAACGCAUCGUGCUGGGGAUAGAUUAUUGUAAUUAUUAAUCUUCAACGAGGAAUUCCUAGUAAACGCGUGUCAUCAACACGCAUUGAUUACGUCCCUGCCCUUUGUACACACCGCCCGUCGCUACUACCGAUUGAAUGAAUUAGUGAGCUCCAGAGAUCGAGCUGUUUCGGGCAACCGGGGCAGUUUGAGAACUGGAUCAAACUUGCUCAUUUAGAGGAAGUAAAAGUCGUA
rnacentral:rRNA from 1 species